GCCCAGGUGGCGGAAUUGGUAGACGCACUGCUUUCAGGUAGCAGCGGGUAACACCGUGAAGGUUCGAGUCCUUUCCUGGGCACCA
rnacentral:tRNA from 2 species